rnacentral:rRNA from 1 species
GUUAUAUGGUCAAGUGAAUAAGCGUAUGUGGUGGAUGCCUAGGCGAUAGAAGGCGAUGAAGGACGUGGUAGCCUGCGAAAUGCUUCGGGGAGCUGGCAAACAAGCUUUGAUCCGGAGAUGUCCGAAUGGGGAAACCCACUGCUUCGGCAGUACCUGUAUCUGAAUACAUAGGGUAUAGGAGCGAACCCGGGGAAUUGAAACAUCUCAGUACCCGGAGGAAAAGAAAUCAACCGAGAUUCCGUCAGUAGUGGCGAGCGAAAGCGGAACAGCCCAGUUGGAACCAGUCGAUGGAGCUUAGUGGAACGGUCUGGAAAGUCCGGCCAUAGCGGGUGAUAGCCCCGUACACGAAAGGUGAAGUCGAUGACCAACGAAGAGUAGGGCGGGACACGUGUAAUCCUGUCUGAACAUGGGGGGACCAUCCUCCAAGGCUAAAUACUCUCUAUCGACCGAUAGUGAACCAGUACCGUGAGGGAAAGGCGAAAAGAACCCCGGUGAGGGGAGUGAAAUAGAACCUGAAACCGCAUACGUACAAGCAGUCAGAGCCUCGUAAGGGGUGAUGGCGUACCUUUUGUAUAAUGGGUCAGCGAGUUAUUUUCAGUGGCGAGGCUAACCGAAUAGGGGAGCCGUAGGGAAACCGAGUCCGAAUAGGGCGCUUCAGUCGCUGGGAAUAGACCCGAAGCCGGUCGAUCUAUCCAUGUCCAGGGUGAAGGUAGGGUAAUACCUACUGGAGGCCCGAACGAACCACUGUUGCAAUAGUGUGUCGAUGAGGUGUGGAUAGGAGUGAAAGGCUAAUCAAGGCCGGCGAUAGCUGGUUCUCCCCGAAAGCUAUUUAGGUAGUGCCUCAUCGAGCACUCCUGGGGGUAGAGCACUGUUUAGGCUAGCGGGUCAUCCCGACUUAGCAAACCUAUGCAAACUCCGAAUACCAGGAAGUGAACCGGUGGGAGACACACGGCGGGUGCUAACGUCCGUCGUGAAGAGGGAAAUAACCCAGACCGCCAGCUAAGGCCCCCAAUUCAUGGCUAAGUGGUGAACGAUGUGGGAAGGCAUAGACAGCCAGGAGGUUGGCUUAGAAGCAGCCAUCCUUUAAAGAAAGCGUAAUAGCUCACUGGUCUAGUCGGCCCGCGCGGAAGAUUUAACGGGGCUCAAGCCAUGAGCCGAAGCUGCGGAUCUGCACGCAAGUGCAGGUGGUAGGGGAGCGUUCUGUACGCCUGCGAAGGUGCACUGUGAGGUGUGCUGGAGGUAUCAGAAGUGCGAAUGCUGACAUGAGUAACGUUAAUGCGGGUGAAAAACCCGCACGCCGAAAGCCCAAGGUUUCCUGCUCAACGUUAAUCGGAGCAGGGUGAGCCGGUUCCUAAGGUGAGACCGAAAGGUGUAAUCGAUGGAAAACAGGUCAACAUUCCUGUGCCCGGUGUGGCUGCGAUGGGGUGACGGAGAAGGCUAGGUCAGCAGGGAUUGGUUCCCUGUUUAAGCAGGUAGGGGGAGUUGCCAGGCAAAUCCGGCAGCUCAUUCAACCCCGAGACGCGAUGACGAGGUCCCACGUGGACCGAAGUGAUUGACGCCACGCUUCCAGGAAAAGCCUCUAAGCUUCAGGUCACAUCGGACCGUACCGUAAACCGACACUGGUGGGCGAGCAGACAAUCUGCCAAGGCGCUUGAGAGAACUCGGGUUAAGGAACUCUGCAAAUUGAUACCGUAACUUCGGAAGAAGGUAUGCCUUCGAUGGUGAGAGGACUUGCUCCUUUAGCUGUUGAAGGUCGCAGGUAAUCGGUGGCUGCGACUGUUUAUCAAAAACACAGGACUCUGCGAACACGUAAGUGGAAGUAUAGGGUCUGACGCCUGCCCGGUGCCGGAAGGUUAAUUGAUGGGGUCAGCCGCAAGGCGAAGCUCUUGAUCGAAGCCCCGGUAAACGGCGGCCGUAACUAUAACGGUCCUAAGGUAGCGAAAUUCCUUGUCGGGUAAGUUCCGACCUGCACGAAUGGCGUAACGCUGGCCACACUGUCUCAACCCGAGACUCAGUGAAGUUGAAAUCGCUGUGAAGAUGCGGCGUUCCCGCGGCAAGACGGAAAGACCCCGUGAACCUUCACUACAGCUUUACACUGAACUUUGAACCUUUUUGUGUAGGAUAGGUGGGAGGCUAUGAAAUUCGGACGCUAGUUCGGAUGGAGCCAACCUUGAAAUACCACCCUGAAAUGUUUGGAGUUCUAACCUAGGUCCGUCAUCCGGAUCGGGGACCGUGUAUGGUGGGUAGUUUGACUGGGGCGGUCUCCUCCCAAAGAGUAACGGAGGAGUGCAAAGGUACGCUCAGCGCGGUCGGUCAUCGCGCUCUAGAGUGCAAAGGCAUAAGCGUGCUUAACUGCGAGACGGACAGGUCGAGCAGGUACGAAAGUAGGUCUUAGUGAUCCGGUGGUUCUGUAUGGAAGGGCCAUCGCUCAACGGAUAAAAGGUACUCCGGGGAUAACAGGCUUAUUCCUCCCAAGAGUCCACAUCGACGGAGGAGUUUGGCACCUCGAUGUCGGCUCAUCACAUCCUGGGGCUGUAGCAGGUCCCAAGGGUAUGGCUGUUCGCCAUUUAAAGUGGUACGCGAGCUGGGUUCAGAACGUCGUGAGACAGUUCGGUCCCUAUCUGCCGUGGGCGUUGGAAACUUGAGGGUGAGCUGUCCUUAGUACGAGAGGACCGGGAUGGACGUAUCUCUGGUGUUCCGGUUGUCACGCCAGUGGCACUGCCGGGUAGCUAUAUACGGACGGGAUAACCGCUGAAAGCAUCUAAGCGGGAAGCCCCCCCCAAGAUUAGGUUUCCCUGGGAACUCGAUUCCCCUGAAGGGCUGUCGAAGACUACGACGUUGAUAGGCUGGGUGUGUAAGUGCAGUAAUGUAUUGAGCUAACCAGUACUAAUUGCCCGUGAGGCUUGACCAUAUAACACCCAA